GGGUCAGUAGUGGAGAACCUUAUAUUGUCUGAAGAGAGGUGAUGACAUAAAUCAUACUCAAUGAAGUUACGCUGAGGCCC